GUGCUCACUUCAGCAGCACAUGUACUAAAAUUGAAACGAUAGAGAGAAGAUCAGCAUGGCCCCUGCACAAGAAAAGGUAAUGGUAUAAUUUAGGCACAAGGCAAAUCU